rfam:Choloepus hoffmanni cont1.19939, whole genome shotgun sequence.
CGUCUGGUCUUCUGGCGCCGAGGACUCGGGAAACCGUGCGGUUGAGGCGAGCCUGUGGCUGCUUUAGAGGCACUGACAUCCGAGGACCCUUCUCCUGG